AUUGAACGCUGGCGGCAGGCCUAACACAUGCAAGUCGAACGAGUGGCGGACGGGUGAGUAAUGUCUGGGAAACUGCCUGAUGGAGGGGGAUAACUACUGGAAACGGUAGCUAAUACCGCAUACCAUCGGAUGUGCCCAGAUGGGAUUAGCUAGUAGGUGGGGUAACGGCUCACCUAGGGGGCGAUCCCUAGCUGGUCUGAGAGGAUGACCAGCCACACUGGAACUGAGACUCGGUCCAGACUCCGACGCGAGUCAGCAGUGGGAAUAUUGCACAGUGGGCGCAAGCCUGAUGCAGCCAUGCCGCGUGUGUGAAGGGGGCCUUCCGGUUGUAAAGUACUUUCAGCGGGGAGGCGUUACCCUCAGAAGAAGCACCGGCUAACUCCGUGCCAGCAGCCGCGGUAAUAC
rnacentral:rRNA from 1 species